UGGUGGAGCGAUUUGUCUGGUUAAUUCCGAUAACGAACGAGACCCUAGCCUGCUAAAUAGUCUGCAGAUCGCAUCAUCUGCAGCACUUCUUAGAGGGACAAGCGGCAUUUAGCCGCACGAAAAUGAGCAAUAACA
rnacentral:rRNA from 1 species